rnacentral:lncRNA from 1 species
AUAUUAAUUCCUUGUAUGCUUGGUGAUCUUUGUGAGAUGAGUUAUAUACCCGAACUCGAGUGCACUUAGGAUAGGAGAAUGGCAUAGUCUUGUUGACUUGUGUGGAGUUAUUUCUUAGAAAGUUGACUUGCAAGCCCAUUCACUUGGUGGAGGUCAUGUUGGGAUCAAUAAUGUCACACAAGUAGUUGUGGUUAGACAUUACUCUUUCCAAUAUAGACCUUAGAAGCCAAGGACC